CAUUUUAUCACAAGAGGUUUAUGGUAAUGUCAUGCACUGGGAUCAUGAGUGUGGUACCACACCAAAAGCCUGUAAGAACAAUGUUAGAAAAAAACCAAAGGAGACAUUUAAGAGAAUUUUCACCCUGAUGUUGUCCUAUGAAUGCUGACCAGGGGCUGCCAAGGUAAAAAAAAAGAAAAGAAAAAAAGAUUAUAAUUUUAUUUUGUUGUAAUAUUUAAUUUUUUUGUAGUAAUAUAAUUUUUAAUUUAAUAAAUGAUUA
ensembl:lncRNA